rnacentral:tRNA from 2 species
GCCGCCUUAGCUCAGUUGGUAGAGCAUCGCAUUCGUAAUGCGGGGGUCGCUGGUUCGAGUCCAGCAGGCGGCACCA